CCUGCUUUAGCACCCCUGCUGUGCCGCUGACCAGAAGUCGCCCGAGAUUUCACACCUCUCACUGGCAGGAUUCAUUAGUAAGUGUUUGCUGAGUGCUCUGAAGAGAAAGGUGUUAUAUAAAGGCUAAGGAGGAUCCUUGAGAAAGAGGAGGUGAAAGUGGCUUCUUCACGGGAGGCUCCCUCAUGGAAGGAGUGAGAGAGAAGAGCAGCCUCAUUCAGUGCAAUUCAGUGGCUUACAGGCCCAGUCACUUCACUUCUAGUCUCUCCGGAUUCUCCUCAAGUUCACUGUGCCUGUCACUGAUAACCAGGCACCAUCCCGAUCUUAGCCAUGUCAAUCAGGUUCAGCAUUAAACUAUGCAGGAGUGUGAGCUAAACUUGCAAACUAAAACCAAAA